rnacentral:rRNA from 1 species
ACUGGAGUGGCGCAAGGGUGUGUAACACGUGGGUAAUCUGCCGUGAAGUCUGGAAUAACUUGCUGAAAGGCGAGCUAAUACCGGAUGUGAACGCAAGUUCAAAGUUGGGGACCGUAAGGCCUGACGCUUCACGAUGAGCCCGCGGCCUAUCAGCUAGUUGGUGAGGUAACGGCUCACCAAGGCUAAGACGGGUAGCUGGUCUGAGAGGACGACCAGCCACACUGGAACUGAGACACGGUCCAGACACCUACGGGUGGCAGCAGUCGAGAAUUUUUCUCAAUGGGCGAAAGCCUGAAGGAGCGACGCCGCGUGGGGGAUGAAUGGCUUCGGCCCGUAAACCCCUGUCAUUUGCGAACAAAUUGUUUCACCUAAUACGUGAAGCAUUGAUUGUAGCGGAAGAGGAAGGGACGGCUAACUCUGUGCCAGCAGCCGCGGUAAUACAGAGGUCCCAAGCGUUGUUCGGAUUUACUGGGCGUAAAGGGUGCGUAGGCGGCCAGGUAAGUUUGAUGUGAAAUCCCGCAGCUCAACUGCGGAACUGCAUUGAAUACUAUUUGGCUCGAGGAAUGGAGGGGAGACUGGAAUUCUCGGUGUAGCAGUGAAAUGCGUAGAUAUCGAGAGGAACACCAGUGGCGAAGGCGAGUCUCUGGACAUUUCCUGACGCUCAGGCACGAAAGCCAGGGGAGCAAACGGGAUUAGAUACCCCGGUAGUCCUGGCCUUAAACGGUGCGCAUUUGCUGUGAGCGGAAUCGACCCCGCUCGUGGCGAAGCUAACGCGUUAAAUGCGCCGCCUGGGAAGUACGGCCGCAAGGUUAAAACUCAAAGAAAUUGACGGGGGCCUGCACAAGCGGUGGAGUAUGUGGCUUAAUUCGAUGCAACGCGAAGAAC